rnacentral:rRNA from 1 species
AUUGAACGCUGGCGGCAUGCCUUACACAUGCAAGUCGAACGGCAGCACGGGAGCAAUCCUGGUGGCGAGUGGCGAACGGGUGAGUAAUGUAUCGGAACGUGCCCAGUCGUGGGGGAUAACGUAGCGAAAGCUACGCUAAUACCGCAUACGAUCUAUGGAUGAAAGCGGGGGACCGUAAGGCCUCGCGCGAUUGGAGCGGCCGAUAUCAGAUUAGGUAGUUGGUGGGGUAAAGGCCUACCAAGCCGACGAUCUGUAGCUGGUCUGAGAGGACGACCAGCCACACUGGGACUGAGACACGGCCCAGACUCCUACGGGAGGCAGCAGUGGGGAAUUUUGGACAAUGGGCGCAAGCCUGAUCCAGCAAUGCCGCGUGCAGGAUGAAGGCCUUCGGGUUGUAAACUGCUUUUGUACGGAGCGAAAAGGCUCUCUCUAAUACAGGGGGCUCAUGACGGUACCGUAAGAAUAAGCACCGGCUAACUACGUGCCAGCAGCCGCGGUAAUAC